CUGAGCCGAAGGCAGCCGCUCAACCGACUGAGCCACCCAGGGAAGUCUAUCACACAAAGAGAAUGCAACAUGUUAUCUGUGUAAAAUGGACUUCUGACAGCAAAUAUAUUAUGUGUGGAUCUGAUGAAAUGAACAUUCGUCUAUGGAAAGCUAAUGCUUCUGAAAAAUUGGGUGUGCUUACAUCACGAGAAAAAGCAGCCAAAGAUUAUAACCAGAAGUUGAAGGAGAAAUUUCAACAUCAUCCUCAUAUAAAACGCAUUGCUC